UAUGGGCGUUUUCUUUGUAUCUCGAGGCUGUUGCGAUCCUGCCGCAAAUUUGGCUCCUCGUUAAAUGCGAAAGCACCGUAGAGAGCUUAACUACGCAUUAUAUUGCUUGCCUAGGAGGAUACAGGCUCUGCUAUUUUAUUAACUGGGUUUAUCGUGCACUCACGGAGGCGCAUUACAGAGAAUACAUUGUCUGGAUUUCUGGCCUGGUUCAAGUUCUGUUAUAUGGUGAUUUUUUUUAUUAUUACAUUCGCAGUUUUUUGGAGAGAAAAAACAUGAGCUUGCCUAAGCCGGCUUAACGUGUGAGGCACGACCAUGUUUUAGAACUGAAGCUUUGCAUUAUAGUUGACCUUCUUAGCAAUGCACGACGGGAUUGGCGAAUAAAACAAAGUGGCAAAAGAAACAAUA